rnacentral:lncRNA from 1 species
CAGGAGCCCACCACCACGCCUGAUCCAUGCAAGGCUGGACUUAAAUGCUUCUGGGCAGAAAUCCGGAACAAUAAGGAGGCUCAUAUUGUCAACUUUUCUACUCUCAUCGUUCCUGUUACACAAUGUCUGAAAGAAAACAUUUCAAACAUUACAUCAAGUUCUUCAUUUGUUUCUUCUAUAAGCUGAGACCAUCCUUGAAAUAGACUCACUUUGGUGUAAUCAAAGUCCACCUAUAUAUAUGAUUUUCAGCAGCCCCC